UAGAAAACAGGCGUGCUGAAACUUUAAAAGAAAAAAAAACUUACAAAAAAGAAUGAAAAAUGUAAAGAUUUUGUGAACCUGAAAUUUGAAUGGCAUCGUGCUUACUUCAGGUCCUGUAUUGGGGAAACACUGUUUCAAAAGGAAGUUUAAAGAAGCUGUGUAUAUACUGAAUGACCUGUAGAGAUCGGGAAUGUUUGGAAUCCUUCAAUCAAGUGGGAAAACAGACAACUUUUUCACGGUUCCACCAAGUCCAUCACAAGGUCCUUUGUUGUGAACUAUUGGGUGGGGUUGAUUUUGUUUGUUUAUGAUUUUAUAUGAUGGAAUACGAUGAGUGAGUAUACGAAAUUCAGGAAACAAUAAGUGCUGUAUAGACUAUCUGUUAUAUCUUAAUGAAAAUUUCAUAAAGUUUAAAUGGAAAUGAAAGUGAAGAUGAAAGUGGUCACUGCAUAAAUCCACCUUUGAUCCAUUGUAAUAUAUUAUAUCUAUGGGUAAUCAAAAAUGCUUCAUCGUGAAAUGAACUCCUGAUGUUGCCAAUUUGGUUGGGGUUCCAUUUUUAUUAUUUUUCAUAUCGACAUAUUUGAAUUGUAAUUAUAAUUUGAAAUUCAUUAUUUAUUAUGCUUUCCUGAAAUACAGCAACUCCUCCACUUUUA